rnacentral:rRNA from 1 species
GAUCAUGGCUCAGAUUGAACGCUGGCGGCAUGCCUUACACAUGCAAGUCGAACGGCAGCACGGGAGCUUGCUCCUGGUGGCGAGUGGCGAACGGGUGAGUAAUGCAUCGGAACGUGCCCUGAAGUGGGGGAUAACGUAGCGAAAGUUACGCUAAUACCGCAUAUUCUGUGAGCAGGAAAGCAGGGGAUCUUCGGACCUUGCGCUUUUGGAGCGGCCGAUGUCGGAUUAGCUAGUUGGUGGGGUAAAGGCCCACCAAGGCGACGAUCCGUAGCGGGUCUGAGAGGAUGAUCCGCCACACUGGAACUGAGACACGGUCCAGACUCCUACGGGAGGCAGCAGUGGGGAAUUUUGGACAAUGGGCGCAAGCCUGAUCCAGCCAUGCCGCGUGAGUGAAGAAGGCCUUCGGGUUGUAAAGCUCUUUCGGUGGGGAAGAAAUUGCUUGGGUUAAUACCCUGAGUAGAUGACGGUACCCGCAUAAGAAGCACCGGCUAACUACGUG